ACUUUGAUUUUUGUAACACUGAUAUUUCUUUCUUAGAUAAAUCACUACGAAAAUAUUCCUACAUCAAACUCUCUGUCAUCAAGUACUACCAACAUAAUGCUCAUUCUCAUCAUACCUUUGUAACUUUCCAUCAAGUUUCGCGUGUACACUACCAACUCGAAGCGUAACUCUAUUACAUCUUCGUCUCGUUAUCCGCGGGAAGAAUAAAGGGAAUCAUGGCUUCCGCUUGUACGUUGAAACUCGGUUCAUAGAUCAGCUUGCGGUUUCUAUAAUUUGAGAGAUUGAACGCCGCUUAUACGCACCCGCAUCCACGAAAUCGCACUGUUCUUACAGAGAAGGGAGAAAUUAAUACCCAGGCGAAAUUACCAUUUAUUUUCACGUCCCCGGCAAUCAGGGAAUGCGCGGCUAAAUGUUAAUGGAUGACCACUGACAGCAAAUUGAAUACACGCAUCGAUUUCAAGGCGAUACCCUGCGUGUAUACCGCGACGUACCACUUGAUCAAGCGUUGACCUAUCAACUCGUUCGUUCGUAGCGACAUCGCCCGGACAGGAGAUAGAAUACACAUUUCAAAGGAGACUCGUGGGACACCGUAUUGCCACGGGUGGCCAAUUAGAAAUGCGCCAAUAGCCAUGGUUGCGUUAGUGUGCGUGUGUGUCGCCGUUCAUUGACAAGGAGUGCGGGUUUUAUUCGUUCGAUGAAGUAUCGCGAAUGAUCACGCGAUUACCGUCUAAAAGGUAAUAAUAGCGUGCUGCUUGUCACACGUAAUCGUGCAAACGUAUAAUGUUAAUUACGCAGUACAGGAGAUUAAUUCGAUUCGCGGUUGCCUUUUCACUGUGGGAAACAGCAGGCAGAGUGUAAUGGCUGCGCGAAGGUGCAUCCUUCGUUAAAGAUUAUCCUGAUUGCUUAUUAUAGUUUUAAUGUCUUUUUUGGAAUCAUAUUUGUGGGAAAAGAAAAUUGGAUCCAAAUUGGAAUAUUUGGAUAUUCAAGAUAGAUAAUCUGCAAGUCCGAUUCCAAAGAAGAAAAGCGGCCCGACAAAGAAGAAAAAGCGAUGGUUUAUCGGUGUCAAUGAGAUGCGCGGGCCACAGUCCUGAUCCAAGGUUGUCCAUCUGCUGCGCUAUCUAUCCGAUACACAGUGUAUCCAACGCAAUGUGUCCACGCCUCGGCACGGGCGCAAUCGCGACUGCGCGCGCGCAACGCUUUCGGUCAGCCUCGAGUGAAGAGACAUCUUUGUUUGGAUAAAGUCGUGGAAUCUAAGCGGAUGUGUGUCUCGGAAAUCUGUAACAAUACGAAGAGGAGAAAUCGGAUCUUGAACGCAACACGAGAUAAGGAAAAUUGAAUGUAAAGAAAGAAA